AGCACUAAAACCUCGGAGAGAGGCGGAGAAAAUCAGGCUCGCCUCACGUGGGGAGGAGGGAGCUCUGUAGCUGACAGGCUGGGAGGAGAGGAAAGAAAACGAAGGAGGAGUGCUCUGGGCGGGGAGUGGAGAAACAAAAAUCUGGGCGCAUUUAGAGCAUCAGGUCCUGGGGGUGUUGUUCAGCUGCAGUGCACUCUUAAUUCAGGCGGACCCUGCCUGAGUUGAGUUUCUCAGCAGAUUGUCAGUCCCUGUUGGAGCAGACUGCCAUCUAGACCUGACUCCUGAGUUUAAAAUGCAAUGGCCAGAAGACAAGAAAGUAUCUGUGGAAGGCCGUGGACGUGGACGCCAGGACUACUGAUGCUGAUCAUCCUUGGCAUUCAUCAGGGGAGUGGGCAAGGUCAAGCUAGGAAUGACAGCAGGACAUGGAAAUGAAAGUAGCUACGCGCCAGAUGGAAAUCCUCAUGAAAAGUUCUUGAUGGAAUGGUUUCAGCAUCAUGUAAGUGAAAGCAAUAUUCCAGAUUGCAGAGGUGGAAAAAAAAGAGGGAGAAGAUCAAACUGUCAAGAUCAAACUGUCAUUAAGUGCUAGAGAAAAGGUAUGAGAGAGAAACUAUAGAGUAGAUUGAUGGAGAGUUAAUGUAGAGGGAUAGAGCUAUAGGAAAAUAUAGAAACAAUAAUAUUUUGAUUGUACUCCAUGAAGCAAGGAUAUCAAGAAGUACUUAUACUAAAUGAUGGGGUGAAAGUUGGAGAAUUCACAGUGCUACAUAAGGUCAUGAUUUUAUGUAACCACAGGCUACUGGGGUAGAUCAGAAAGUCAUUUUAUUACCAGAAUACAGUGUAUUUUAUGAAGACCAAAGCAAAGGUUCAGUGAAUUAUGUAAGGUGAUCAAAACACAAUAAAUAAUAGGC
rnacentral:lncRNA from 1 species